GACGAACCGAGCGAACGUUGUUCGGAAUCACUGGGCUUAAAGGGCGCGUAGGCGGGCUGUCAAGUCUGGGGUGAAAUCCCGCGGCUCAACCGUGGAACUGCCUUAGAUACUGACGGCCUCGAGGGAGAUAGGGGCGAGCGGAACUAUCGGUGGAGCGGUGAAAUGCGUUGAUAUCGAUAGGAACUCCGGUGGCGAAGGCGGCAUACUGGUCCACUUCUGACGCUGAGGCGCGAAAGCGUGGGGAGCGAACAGG
rnacentral:rRNA from 1 species